rnacentral:rRNA from 1 species
UGCAAGUCGAACGCACAGCGAAAGGUGCUUGCACCUUUCAAGUGAGUGGCGAACGGGUGAGUAACACGUGGACAACCUGCCUCAAGGCUGGGGAUAACAUUUGGAAACAGAUGCUAAUACCGAAUAAAACUUAGUGUCGCAUGACAAAAAGUUAAAAGGCGCUUCGGCGUCACCUAGAGAUGGAUCCGCGGUGCAUUAGUUAGUUGGUGGGGUAAAGGCCUACCAAGACAAUGAUGCAUAGCCGAGUUGAGAGACUGAUCGGCCACAUUGGGACUGAGACACGGCCCAAACUCCUACGGGAGGCUGCAGUAGGGAAUCUUCCACAAUGGGCGAAAGCCUGAUGGAGCAACGCCGCGUGUGUGAUGAAGGCUUUCGGGUCGUAAAGCACUGUUGUAUGGGAAGAACAGCUAGAAUAGGAAAUGAUUUUAGUUUGACGGUACCAUACCAGAAAGGGACGGCUAAAUACGUGCCAGCAGCCGCGGUAAUACGUAUGUCCCGAGCGUUAUCCGGAUUUAUUGGGCGUAAAGCGAGCGCAGACGGUUUAUUAAGUCUGAUGUGAAAGCCCGGAGCUCAACUCCGGAAUGGCAUUGGAAACUGGUUAACUUGAGUGCAGUAGAGGUAAGUGGAACUCCAUGUGUAGCGGUGGAAUGCGUAGAUAUAUGGAAGAACACCAGUGGCGAAGGCGGCUUACUGGACUGCAACUGACGUUGAGGCUCGAAAGUGUGGGUAGCAAACAGGAUUAGAUACCCUGGUAGUCCACACCGUAAACGAUGAACACUAGGUGUUAGGAGGUUUCCGCCUCUUAGUGCCGAAGCUAACGCAUUAAGUGUUCCGCCUGGGGAGUACGACCGCAAGGUUGAAACUCAAAGGAAUUGACGGGGACCCGCACAAGCGGUGGAGCAUGUGGUUUAAUUCGAAGCAACGCGAAGAACCUUACCAGGUCUUGACAUCCUUUGAAGCUUUUAGAG